rnacentral:rRNA from 1 species
AGAGUUUGAUCCUGGCUCAGGGUGAAUGCUGGCGGCGUGCCUUAGGCAUGCAAGUGGAACGACUGAGUUUACUCGGGAGUCGCGAACGGCUGAGUAACGCGUAAGUACCUACCCCUUAGUGGGGAAUACCCAUCUGAAAGGAUGGUUAAUACCGCAUGAGAUUGAAAGAUGAAAGGGCUUAACUGCCCGCUGAGGGAGGGGCUUGCGUACCAUCAGUUUGUUGGUGGGGUAAUGGCCUACCAAGACUACGACGGUUAGGGGACGUGAGAGCGUGACCCCCCAGAAUGGCACUGAGACACGGGCCAUACACCUACGGGUGGCAGCAACUAGGAAUAAUGCGCAAUGGGCGAAAGCCUGACGCUGCGACGCCGCGUGAGGGAUGACGGCCUUAGGGUUGUAAACCUCUUUUGCCGAAAGUCAUUGCUUUUGGAGAAUAAGCACCCGCUAACU